AAAAUAACAUAAAUAAUUAAGAUUUUCUUCAUCUAAAAUCAUUGGAAUUGAAGAACUAAAACAGCUACUCCCUCUGUUUUGAAAUAUAGGUCAUUUGACUUUUUUGCACGUGUAAAAAGGUCAAACGACCUAUAUUUCAAAACAGAAGUAGUACAAAUCUUGAACUACAACAAAGGGAUAACAUAUUACUCCCUCCAUCCCAAAUUAGAUGGCCCCGUUGACUUUGGGCACACAAUUUAAGGUUCAUUGACCGCAUAGAUACGUGACUUAUUUUUAAAAUUUUAUUUUUGCAAAUAAAAAUUAAAAUAUGAAAUUUUCAUUUAUAAAAGAAAAAAUAAAAAAAUAAAUUUCGGAAGUAGACGGUCAAUGCACCUAAAGUUACGUGCCCAAAGUCAACGGGGACAUCUAAUUUGGGAUGGAGGUAGUAGCAUAUUAUUAUUAAAUAGAAAAUCGGACGUGAAAAUAUAUUAGCUAUUCACAAGUACACAGUCGUUUGUUUAUAGGAGUCAUCUCAAAAAUGCCUUGAGAGACAAUGAUGCUUUGGCCUUAUGGUCAUCACGCAUACAACCGAGCAUAGAAAUACACUUAAUUUUAGUUUAUAUGUGGAAACUACUGAAUUGCAAUAGUAGAGUACCCCUGUCUAUCAGUGUAGAAUGUAGAUAGUUGAAUACUUAUUGUGCAACUGCUGAAAUAGGGUCCCAUUAGGCGCAAACUCAAAUACAAAAGAAAGCAAUAGCUGAAACCUAUUGUUCAGCAUGUAUAUUUUCUGAUGC
rnacentral:lncRNA from 1 species